rnacentral:rRNA from 1 species
UUAUAAGAGACAGCAGUCGCCGCGGUAAUACGGAGGGUCCGAGCGUUAAUCGGAAUUACUGGGCGUAAAGCGUGCGCAGGCGGUUUGUUAAGCGAGAUGUGAAAGCCCUGGGCUCAACCUAGGAAUAGCAUUUCGAACUGGCGAACUAGAGUCUUGUAGAGGGGGGUAGAAUUCCAGGUGUAGCGGUGAAAUGCGUAGAGAUCUGGAGGAAUACCGGUGGCGAAGGCGGCCCCCUGGACAAAGACUGACGCUCAUGCACGAAAGCGUGGGGAGCAAACAGGAUUAGAUACCCCUGUAGUCCCUGUCUCUUAUAA